AUGCCUCUUGUUGCCAUCCCAUUCAUACUUCUCAUCUCCGCCUUCCACGCCCCAUGUUCUGCAGCAAGAAGCACGAUUUUAGUCGGUGAUCGCCUCACCGGCGAUGACAGGCUCGUCUCUCGCAAUGGCAAGUUCGUGCUCGGCUUCUUCCAACCAGGCAGUGAGUACUCCUCCCAACAGACUCCCGCUCACUGGUACAUAGGCUUAUGGUUUGGUAAGAUACCCAAGUUAACCCCAGUAUGGGUUGCAAAUAGGGACAGACCAAUUGUAAACCUUGAAAUGUCGGAGCUCACGAUCUCCGAUGAUGGUAACCUUGUCAUUUUAAAUAAAGACACCAAAUCGACAAUUUGGUCGACCCAUGCUAAUAUCACAGCCAAGAACACUACAGUUGUGCUCAUGGACAAUGGGAACCUCAUCUUAGGAGAUGCAUCUAACUCAUCCAACGUCAUAUGGCAGAGCUUUGAUUACCCUACUGAUGGUCUGCUCCCUGGUGCAAAGCAAGGCGUGGAUAAGAUCACCGGUUUGACCCGUCACCUUGUUUCCAAGAAGAGCUUGAUUGAUCCAGCUCCUGGCCGUUAUUGUGUGGAAUUAGAUACCACUGGUCCUGGCCAAUUCCUCUACAAACUAUGCAACUCGUCCAUAGUAUAUUGGUCUAGUGGGGAAUGGAAUGGUCAUUACUUCAACUCGAUGCCAGAAAUGAAUGGAGACAAUCUUUUUACCUUUAAAUUUGUCAACAAUGACAAAGAGGAGUAUUUCAUAAAAAAUGUAACAGAUGACAAGCUGAUAUCUGUUAGCCUUUUGGACAUUACUGGACAGGAAAAGCAACUCAUCUGGGUUGAAAGUUCACAAGAUUGGGUGACGGUCUUCACCCAGCCUAAAGAUCAAUGUGAUGUCUAUGCUACAUGUGGACCAUUCACAAUCUGCAACAGCAACACAGCCCAAGUGUGUGAUUGCUUGAAGGGCUUCUCAAUAAGGUCACCUAAGGAUUGGAAGAUAGAGGACCGAUCUGGCGGGUGCAUAAGAAAUGUGCCACUGGACUGCGGUGCCAGGAAUCAAAGCAGAAAUGCAACAACUGACAAGUUCUACCCCAUGACAAAAGUCAAACUGCCUGCAAUGCCCAUAGUUAUAGAAGCUGUUGGGAGCAUAGACCAUUGUGCACAAGCUUGCCUAGAUAAUUGCUCUUGCAUUGCAUAUUCCUACAGCGACAGAUGCUCCCUCUGGUAUGAUGACUUGCUUAACAUCAAACAAGGCGAUAUUGGAACUACUAGAAAUGAAGAGGUUCUCUACUUACGCAUCUCUGCCAAGGAUGCAGAAAGUUGGAGAAAUACAAAGAGAGGGAAGGGGGUUAUUUGGGCUACUUCUGCUGCAAGUGUCGUUGCUUUGCUUUUGUUGGCAGUUGUCAUGUGGUUUCUGCUAAUAUGGAGGAGCAAGAGAAAGCACACUACCGGCAUGUACAAUAAUGCACAAGGUGGCAAUGGAAUUGUAGCUUUCAGAUACAUUGAUCUGCAACAUGCAACCAAAAAUUUCUCAGAGAAGCUAGGGGGAGGGAGCUUUGGAUCUGUAUUCAAGGGGUUACUAACUGACUCUACAGCUAUUGCGGUGAAAAGGCUUGAUGGUGUCCGUCAGGGAGAGAAGGAAUUCAGAGCCGAAGUGAGUUCAAUUGGAAUCAUCCAACACAUCAAUUUGGUUAAACUAAUUGGCUUUUGCUGCAAGGGCAGUAUGAGACUGCUUGUGUAUGAAUACAUGCCAAAUCUUUCCCCCGAUGCACAUCUCUUCCGCAGCAAUACAGAGUUACUAAGCUGGAGUGUCCGUUACCAAAUAGCCCUUGGAAUUGCAAGAGGAUUAGCAUACUUGCAUGAUAGUUGCAGGGAUCGUAUCAUACACUGUGAUAUCAAGCCACAGAAUAUACUUCUUGACACCUCAUUUGUACCUAAAGUUGCAUACUUUGGUAUGGCCAAAUUUCUAGGGAGGGAUUUUAGCAGAGUUUUGACUACAUUUAGAGGAACUAUAGGCUAUCUUGCACCUGAAUGGAUCAGUGGAGUGGCCAUUACACCAAAAGUGGAUGUCUACAGCUACGGUAUGAUGUUGCUUGAAAUAGUAUCAGGUCGGAGCAACAAUACAUGUAAGGAGAAUAGCAGCACUGGUGAUCAUUCGGCUUAUUUCCCGGUUCAAGUUGCAAGGAAACUUCUCGAGGGAGACGUUGCGAGCUUGCUGGAUGACAGGUUACAUGGUGAUGUUAACUUGGAUGAAGCUGAGAGGGUCUGCAAGGAUUCCGGCACCGAGCACAGCCGCCGCCGAUGCGGCGAAGGAUUUGACCGUGGGUCAACAGAGGGCGGUUUCACGGGGGCCUGGAGCCGCUCCGUGCAUCUGACAGGAGGGCCAGGGAUCCUGGGGCGUGGACCGGGCGGACGCGCCUCUGAUGAUCGACACGUGGGACAGAUGAGAUCCGACCACCAUGGAUCCUCUAAACUUAGGGUUUCGCUGGGCGCCGCUCAUAUAAAACCACACCCGGUUCCCCUCUCCCCCAUUUUAGAUCUCAGCAAGGGCCUCUCUCACUUCUGGGACGCGUCGUCGCCUCCUAAAGCUAGGGUUCCUAGAUCCUUCGCCUGGUGGGAGGGCAAAAUCCGUGGUGAUCCUCGUUCCUUUGCUCAAGUUGCGAGUUCUCCACCUCAACCACAUACCCUUGAUCCGAUUUGUGAGGUUAGCACCAUGAGAAAGGAGGGAUUUGGGGCUGGGCGCCACGGUCGGGGGGCCGGGCGUUUCGACCGCGGCCUGGGACGCGGUCGCAGCCUCGACCGCAAUGUGUGGAAGCGCAAGACAGAGUCGGGCGGAUCUUCAACUCAGAAAGCUUCUGGAUCGGGGGAUGCUGGAUCCAGGAAGUGGGACGAGGUGGCCGACGGCAAUCUUGCUGCUCCCCCUCGAGCUGGGAGGUGGGGCGAUGAAGAUGGGGACACAAGCGAGCCCCGUGCGGUGGAAAAGAAUCCUAUGUCUCCACGUGCGCGUGAUCCCCCUGCUUAUGCUGGUAACAAUGCUCCUCCUCCUUUUCCAUGUCAGAUCUGUAAUCUGAAUGGGCAUCCUACUGCUAGAUGUGCACAAGCUGUGUGUGAGCGGUGCAAGAAGAAAGGGCACCUGUCGGUUAUUUGCGCUGAAUUCUUACCUUGGGAAUUUUCGCCUGCUAUGUGUGGUUUCCAGAGCAAGGGGCAGGGUUUCUUUUAUAUUCCUGAUUUCAGUGUUGAUAGACAGCCUAGGGAGAGGAUUUUCAAUGUUGUUGUUACUAUAACCGAGGGGGAUGCGCUCACCAAAGAUGUUGAGCACGAGCUUAGUGUCUAUGUGGGCCAGGGUUGGCGCUGUUCUGCUAAAUUUUUUGCUCCGAACAUGUUUGUGAUGAGGAUGCCAAACCCUAGAGAAGUUGAUCGUGCUCUUUUCGUUGAACAUGUUAAACUGAAGAAGUGUGGUGUGGCUGUUAAAUUUUCCCCCUGGUCUGAGGAUAUUGAUUCUGAAGGGCUCCUAGAGGUUGCUUGGGUGAGGAUUGGGAAAAUCCCUCCUAAUAAACGUUGUGAUAAGACUAUAGCUUAUGUGGGGGGACUUGUGGGUAUAACCCUGGAGGUUGAUAUGGCUACUUUGAAUCAUCCGUCUUCUGUAAGAGCUAAAAUUGGAUGUCGAUCAGUGAAACAACUUCCUCACACAGCUGAAGGAGUGUUGGGGGGGCGUUUCUAUAAAUUUACUUUUGAGGUGGAGGAAAUCCUUGUGGUCAAUGCUGUUGACAAAGAGGCUGUGCGUGUGGAGGCCAAUGACAACCCCCCUAAACCUGAUCAGACUCCUAAGCGCAAGCGUGCUGAUCAAGGGGUGGAUGAAGAACAAUAUAACUUGAAUAAUGGGGAGAAAAGAGAAACUUCUGCUCGUGGGGGCAAGACCUGUCGUCUGUCACCACAGGAGCAAGAGACAUCCAUGUCGUCUGACAGUGAGGUGGACUCCUCUCUCCUCAUUGAAACGAUAGCUAAAGAGCACGAGCUGGCGGGGGCCCAUAUGACCCAGGAUACCUCUAAAUGGCUGACAACUAUGGAUCAUAUUGACAUCAAUGCUUCGAGGGGGAAUGAAAAUAUGAGUCAGCAAGUGAAGGUACAAAAUUCAUCUGGUAUUCGUCGAUCAUUGUCUUAUGCUGCUGUGGUUUCUAAUACUGCUCAGAUUGUGGAGGUGGAGGGAGACAUUGAUGCAGGCUUGAAGAACAACAGCGAUUAUGUGGAGAAUAUUGAAGCAAAAGCUAUUGAGCUUGCCCAGAAAAAAGAUUUAGGAGGUAAUCAUACAGCUUGUACUAAUGCUUUUGAUGUUCUCUCUAAUUCUGAACUGUUACAUAGAGCUUCUUGCAUGGGUGUGAAUAUUCCUGAUAAUGAUUUCUCUUGUGUGGAUGUGCUUAGAGAAUUGGAGAGGGUUAGAGGAAAUCUUGCUGAUAAAGAUAAGGUGAAUGAGAAUAACAAACCCACUGAUGAUAAUGGGGAUGACAUUUUGGUUACCAAUGGGUUGGGUAAAUCUAUCCCUGUUAACCUCACCUGGCUGGACCAGGAAGAGGUGUUACAUGAUCAGAUUUCUUUAGGAAAAAACAAGAAGAAACCUAAGAAGAAUCUGUGUGGGGAGGAAAGUAGAGAAGCUCCUAAACCUCGUGGGUUUCGUUUUAAUCUUGCCUGGAUAAAAGAUGAGAAGUUCUUACCCACGGUUAGUAGGAUUUGGGCUAGAAAGGUUCAGUCCUCUGACCCUAUUGAUAUCCUGAAUAUCAAGCUAAAAAGAUUCAAAACCUACUUCAAAGAUUGGGGAUCAGAUAAAUACGGCCACGGCAAAAGAAGAAAAGAGGAGCUCCGAAUUGAGCUGGCCAUGCUAGAAGAGCUUGAAGAAAAUGGCCCCUUAUCCCCUGAGCUAUACAGCAUCAAGAUUGAUGUUAGUACUGAGCUUCAUGAUAUACUGGUGAAUGAGGAGAUAUAUUGGCUCCAACAGUCUCAUGAACGCUGGCUCUUGAAAGGGGAUCUGAACACGGACUAUUAUCAUAAGAUUGCAAAUGGGCGCAAGAGGAAAAACACUAUCCAUUCCCUUAAAGCUGGGGACGUGGAGAUUGAGGGCACUGACAACCUGAUUGCCCAUGCCACAGAUUACUACCAAGAGUUUGUUCGGGCCUGGAUCCGGUAA
rnacentral:rRNA from 1 species